rnacentral:rRNA from 1 species
CUCAGUUCGGACUGCAGUCUGCAACUCGACUGCACGAAGCUGGAAUCGCUAGUAAUCGCGGAUCAGCACGCCGCGGUGAAUACGUUCCCGGGCCUUGUACACACCGCCCGUCACACCAUGGAAGUCUGCAAUGCCCGAAGCCGGUGGCCUAACCACUUAUGUGGAAGGAGCCGUCUAAGGCAGGGCAGAUGACUGGGGUGAAGUCGUAACAAGGUAUC